rnacentral:misc_RNA from 1 species
GUCAUCGUUAAUUUUACUGCUACAGAAAUUUGCCACUAAGAAAAAGAAACUUGGACACCGGACACGCUUAAUCACAAUAAUAUAACAAUAAUCAAGUGCACAGAAAAAGGAAAAAGCUGAGAGAAGGAAAGAAAGAAAAUUCUCCAAUAACAUCCAUGAAGUCUCUGCAAUUAACAUCAAACUAAAAGUAGACAUAUUUAAAAUGGCUCAGUUCCUCCCGAAAUUUGCAUUUACUCUGAUGUACACAAGAUGUCAGAUUCUUGACAGAAAAUUCUCAAAUAAUAUUCAUGAGGACUCUGCAAUUAAAAUCAAACUAAAAAUACAUAUUUGAAAAGGCCCGUUCCUCUCUGUGUUUGCAUUUACCAUGAUGCAUACAAGAUUUUAGAUACUUGAGAUGUAAAACUAAAAUAGAAAUUGUUCACAUUAAAACAUCACAUAAAGAGCAAUACAUAAAAUGUUAUUGAACAAAUAAAUGUCAAAAGGUACUCCAUUGAGCUUGACAGGACAAAAGAAAACUAGAACUAAUAAGUUACUUCUAUUACAUUUCAAAACCUAGCUAGAGAUAAUUAGAAGGAAAAAUAAAACCAAGCAGAUCACAAAAGCAAAUUUAGUCUAAAUUCUAAGUUUCCAGAGCGCUCAAAACAUGACUACAAAACGAAAGGCAGUUACCAUAGAGAAAGA